UACGGGGGGGGCAAGCGUUGUUCGGAAUUACUGGGCGUAAAGGGCUCGUAGGCGGCCAACUAAGUCAGACGUGAAAUCCCUCGGCUUAACCGGGGAACUGCGUCUGAUACUGGAUGGCUUGAGAUUGGGAGAGGGAUGCGGAAUUCCAGGUGUAGCGGUGAAGUGCGUAGAUAUCUGGAGGAACACCGGUGGCGAAGGCGACAUCCUGGACCAACACUGACGCUGAGGAGCGAAAGCCAGGGGAGCAAACGGG
rnacentral:rRNA from 1 species